rnacentral:misc_RNA from 1 species
UCUUGGCACCUUCUAUUCUGU